rnacentral:misc_RNA from 1 species
GAAAUGCGAUAAGUAGUGUGAAUUGCAGAAUUCAGUGAAUCAUCGAAUCUUUGAACGCACAUUGCGCCCUUUGGUAUUCUUUAGGGCAUGCCUGUUCGAGCGUCAUCUAAACCUUCAAGCCCUGCUUGGUGUUGGGUGCCUGUCCCGCCUCCGCGCGCGGACUCACCUCAAAUCCAUUGGCGGCCCCCGCGUCGGCCACGAGCGCAGCAGAAACGCGAACUCGUGAGCCCGUCCGGGCGGCUCCCAGAAGCUACACCCACCCAGUUUGACCUCGGAUCAGGUAGGGAUACCCGCUGAACUUAAGC